UCCCUAGUGGCUCAGAAGGUAAAGCAUCUGCCUGUAAUGCAGGAGGCCUGGGUUCGAUCCCUGGGUCAGGAA
rnacentral:tRNA from 1 species